GGAAGUUGGGGCGCAGGAAUGUGGCUGUCCCCGCCUGUAAAUCAUGGUUGGGGAGGAGUCGCGGAGGCACCAGGCUGGGGUCUGCAGCGCGCCAUCUGCUGCAGCACACAGGAGGCGCUGAGGCUAGUUGGAGACAGAGUCUCACUGUGUCACCCAGGCUGGAGUGAAGUGGCAUGAUCUUGGCUUACUGAAACCUCCAUCUCCCAGGUUCAAGCGAUUCUCAUGCCUCAGCCACUUGAGUAGCUGGGACUACAGGAUUUCGCCAUGUUCCCCAGGCUGGUCUCAAACUCCUGAACUCAGGCAGCCCGCCUACCUUGGCCUCCCAAAGUGCUAGGAUUACAGCCCAAAUGACCCUCCAAGACCCUCUGGAGGCACCCGCAGUGCUCCUUAAUUUGCAGCUCUACAGAAUGAGACCAGCGUGGCAGCCCCCUUUCAGGACAGCUCCCGAGACGAGACGCGAGAGCAGCCCCUAAAUCUCACCCAGCAAAGCCGUUUCUUCCUAACCGGGCUGGGGAGUGCCGCGCGCUGCCAGCAGAUGGCGACAGAGGAUUAGCCUGCGGAAACCGGGUGGCAAAUGAAUCUUACUAUAACCACUUGGAACCACUGUGUUUCUGGUCCAUCUUGUGAGGCCCAUCUUUGGUUCAGAGGGAUGGAGGCAGAAGUCAUACGGCAGCUUCACGAUUCGAACUCAAAUGUCUGGUCAGCUACUCAGCCAUCUCUUCCAAGCUGUCAGGUUUCCCUAAGGUAAGAGCCAUACUGAUAUGGUUUGGCUCUGUGUCCCCACCCAAAUCUCAUCUUGAAUUUUAAUCCCAAUAACCCCCAAGUGUCAAGGGGGGAAUCUGGUGGGAGGUGAUUGGAUCAUGGGGACAGUUUUGCCCAUGCUGUUCUCAUGAUAGUGAGUUCUCAUAAGAUAUGAUGGUUUUAUAAGGGGCUAUUCCCACUACACUUUUAUCUCUCCUGCCACCCUGUGAAGAAGGACAUAUUUUCUUCCCCUAAUUCCAUGAUUGUAAGUUUCCUGAGGCCCCCCAGCCAUGUGGAACUGUGAGUGAAUUAAACCUCUUUCCUUUAUAAAUUACCCAGUUUUGGGUAUUUCUUUGUAGCAGUGUAAAAACAGAUUAAUACAGGAAAUUGGUACCAGGAGUUUGGGGCACUGCCACAAAGAUACUUAAAAAUGUGGAAACCACUUCGGAACUGGGUAACAGGAAGAAGUUGGGACAGUUUGGAGGGCUCAGAAGACAGGAAGAUGUGGGAAAGUGUGGAACUUCCUAGAGACUUGCUGAAUGGUUUUGACCAAGAUGCUGAGAGUGAUAUGGACAACGAAGUACAGGCUGAGGUGUUCUUAUAUGGAGAUGAGGAACUUAUUUGAAACUGGAGCAAAUGUCACUCUUGCUAUGCUUUAGCAAAGAGACUGGAGGCAUUUUACCCCUGACCUAGAGAUCGGUGGAACUUUGAACUUUUAUUAGUCCAUUUUCAUACUGCUAUGAAGAAGUACCUGAGAUUGAGUAAUUUAUAAAGAAAAAGAGGUUUAAUGUACUCACAGUUCCACAUGGCAGAGGAGGCCUCACAAUCAUGGUGGAAGGUGAAGGAGGAGGAAAGCCGUGUCUUACAUGAUGGCAGUCAACAGAGCAUGUGCAGGGGAACUGCCCUUUAUAAAACCAUCAGGUCUUGUGAGACUUAUUCACUAUCACAAGAACAGCACAGGAAAAACCCACCCCCAUGAUUCAAUUACCUCCCACUGGGUCCCUCCCAGGACAUAUGGGGAUUAUGGGAGCUACAAUUCAAGAUGAGAUUUGGGUGGGGACAGAGCCACACCAUAUAAUUCCACCCCUGGUCCCUCCCAAAUCUCAUGUCCUUACAAUUCGAAACACAAUCAUCCCCUUCCAACCGUCUCCCAAAGUCUUAACUAAUUGCAGCAUUAAUACAAAAGUCCAAAUCCAGAGUCUCAUCUGAGACAAGGCAAGUCCCUUCCACCUAUGAGCCUGUAAAAUCAAAAGCAAGUCAGUUACUUCCUAGAUAUAAUGGGGGUAGAGGCUUUGGGUAAAUAUACCCAUUCCAAAUGGGAUAAAUUGCCAAAACAAAAGGGCCACAGCCCCCAUGCAAGUCCAAAAUCCAGCAGGGCAGUCAAAUCUUAAAGCUCCAAAAUAAGCUUUGACUAUAUGCCUCACAUCCAGGUCACACUGAUGCAAGAGGUGGGUUCCCAUGGUCCUGGGCAGCUCUGCCCCUGUGGCUUUGCAGGGUACAGCCCACUCCCCCUUCCCCGGCUGCUUUCAUGAGCUGGCAUGAAAAUGGACAUUGGGCAAACUCACAGUCUGGCAUGAAGCUUUUCCAGGAGCAUGGUGCAAGCUGUUGGUGGAUUUACCAUUCUGGCGUUUGGAGGAUGGUGGCCCUCUUCUCACAGCUACACUAGGCAGUGUCUCGGGGGGACUCUCUGUGGGGGCUACCACCUCACAUUUCCCUUCUGCACUGCCCUAGCAGAGGUUCUCCAUGAGGGCUCCACCCCUGCAGCAAACUUCUGCCUGGAUAUCCAGGCGUUUCCAUACAUCCUGUGAAAUCUAGGUGGAGGUUCCCAAACCUCAAUUCUUUACUUCUGUUCACCUGCAGGCCCAACACCAUGUGUAAGGCACCAAGGCUUGGGGCUUGCACCCUCUGAGUCAAUGGCCUGAGCUAUAUCUUGGCCCCUUUUAGCCACAGCUGGGACACAGGGCACCAAGUUCUAAGACUGCACAAAGCAGCAAGACCUGGGGUUUAGCCCAUGAAACCACUUUUUCCUUCUAGGCCUCUGGGCCUGUGAUGGGAGGGGCUGUCAUGCAGACCUCUGGCAUGCUCUGGAGACAUUUUCCCCAUUGUCUUGGUGAUUAACAUUUGGCUCCUUGUUACUUAUGCAGAUUUCUGCAGCUGGCUUAAAUUUACCCUCAGAAAAUGAGGUUUUAUCUUCUAUCACAUCGACGGGCUGCAAAUUUUCUGAACUUUUAUGAUCUGCUUCCCUUUUAAACAUAAGUUCCAAUUCCAAAUGAUAUCUUUGUGAAUGACUAAAACUGAAUGCUUUUAAGAGUACCCAAGUCACAUCUUGAAUGCUUUGGUGCUUAGAAAUUUCUUCUUCCAGAUACCCUAAAUCAUCUCUCUCAAGUUCAAAGUUCCACAGAUCUCUAGGGUGGGGCAAAAUGCCACCAGCCUCUUUGCUAAAGCAUAGCAAGAAUGACCUUUGCCCCAGUGCCCAAGUUCCUCAUCUCUGUCUGAGACCAUGUCAGCCUGGAAUUUAUUGUCGGUAUCACUAUCACAUUUUGGGCAAAGGCAUUCGACAAGUCUCUAUGAAGUUCCAAACUUUCCCACAUUUUCCUGUCUUCUUCUGAGCCCCCUAACCUUUUCCAACCUCUGCCUGUUACCCAGUUCCAAAGUUGCUUCCACAUUUUCAGGUAUGUUUACAGCAGCACCCCACUCUCUGUGAUACCAAUUUACUGUAUUAGUCCAUUUUCAUACUACUAUGAAGAAAUACCUGAGACUGGGUAAUUUAUAAAGAAAAAGGGGUUUAAUGGACUCAGAGUUCUACAUGGGUGGGGAGGACUCACAAUCAUGGUGGAAGAUGAAAGAGGAGCAAAGGCACAUCUUACAUGGCAGCAGGCAAGAGGGAGCAUGUGUAGGGGAACUCUCCUAUAUAACUAUCAGAUCUUGUGAGACUUAUUCACUAUUGCAAGAACAGCAUAGAAAAAACUCAUCCCCGUGAUUCAAUUACCACCCACUGGGUCCCUCCCAGGACAUGUGGGGAUUAUGGGAGCUACAGUUCAAGAUGAGAUUUGGGUGGGGACACAACCAAACCAUAUCAGAACUUGAGAGAGAUUAUUUGAAAUUGGAACAUAUGUUUAAAGGGAAGGAGAAUGUAAAAGUCUGGAAAAUUUGCAGCCUGACCAUAUGGUAGAAAAGAAAAACCCAUUUUCUGGGAAGAAACUCAAGCUAGCUACAGAAAUUUGCAUAAGUAACGAGAAGCCAAAUCUUAAUUGCCAAGACAAUGGGGAAAAUGUCUCCAGGGCAUGUCAGAGAACUUAGUGGCAGCUCCUCCCAUCACAAGCCUGGUUACACGGUUAGGUGGAAAAGACAAGUUGUAUGUAGAGAUCAUUAUCAGAAAUUGCUAAACUCUGUCAUCAAAAACUCUGUUGGAAUGGAUUUUAAAAUUUCUUAAUAAAAGAUGAAACAUGACUUUGGUUUAGUUUUUGAAGUGGUGCACUCUCCAGAGAUUCUGUAUUCAACACUCAGUCCUGGGAAGCCAGUAGUAUUUAUAAUAAAUUUUAUAAUGCUCAUGCAAAUGCGAACCAGAUACUGGCCCACAGUAAACGCUAGUAGGAGGAUGGACAUCUCUUGGCAUCACCUAGGAAGUUUUCUUGGGAAAAAGUCAAAACUGAAUAUUACCAAACCUCUAGAUCUAACUACCAGUUUACAAGAAAUACUGGGUCUACAGCUACACAUUAAAUGACAUCAGGUGGAUGAAUGGUAAAGUGCAGAAUGUGGAACACUUCAUAGAAACAUGACUUUCUUCAAUAAGCAAAUAUUAGAAAAAAUAAAAAGGGGAAAUACACACAUUAAAUUGUGACUUUAGAGACUCACAUAACCAAAUAUAACGUAUAGACUUUUUGGAUUCUGACUUGAACAAUCCACAUGUAAAACAAAAAUGAACAAAUCUAGAAGUUAGGGAAAGGUAAACACUUAAGUUAUUAAAGUUUUAUAAGCAUGUUGACAGCACUGUAGUUUUAUUUCAUAAAAAGUACUUUUUUUUUACUGUAGUAGUAAUUACUCAAUUAUGCCUGUGUCAGAAUUCAUAGAUCUGUACACCAAAAGAAUGAAUUUUCCUGCACAUAAAUACUAGAUCAAUAUAACUAGACUUAAAAAAAGAAAUGGCCACUGUAAACAGACACAAGAGAACACCUUGCAGGACAAAGUCUGGGGGCAUGAAGGACAAUAGUGAAGGACAUUCCAACUCCAAAGAGAAGUAACCAGGACUCGCAGUAUGAGCUAAUCAAAAAUUGUACUCCCCUGCCAGAGCUGGACAUCAUGUAAAUUCCUGCACAACAGAAUUUGGUCAUUCCAUAGGAUUGUGGCUGCUAUAUUUCCCAUUUAUCCUUUUUUUCUGAAUAAAAAUGUAAUUUAUUGGAUUAUGUUCAUACUCCACUAUAGUAUAUUGGGUAUGUGGGUGGAGCAGGAGGAAUGCAGGUAAGUCUCUGCACCAUGGGGAGCUGCAUUCAGAUGUGCUGAAGAGAAAUACACAUUGCCCAGAAAAUCUGGAUCAUCUUGGCAAGUGGGUAAGUACAUUUCACAUGUGGAAAGGAGAGGACAUACAUAUACUAGAGGGGUGAGAUGGGUAGUGAGUAACUCCUGGUUACUUCUCUUAGGAGACUAUGACUUUGCCCAAUGUCCAUUUUCCUUUUAUUCCAGUUAUAGAAUUUAGGCUGGGCAUCUGGAAUAAGCAUUACAUUCCACAGCCUCCUUUCCAGUGAAGUGAGCCAUGUAACUGAACUGUGAACACUGGGUGCGAGCAGACAUGGUAUAUGCCAUUUUCAGAUGGUGUUUUUAAUAGGAAGAGGUGCUCUGUCCUUCCUGAUCACUCCUGGCUGUAGUAGAGGUGUGUUGGCUACUUUAGCAGCCUUUUUGGCCAUGUUGCAUGUUGAGGACCAUAGUAUAGCCUCAUUGAAGAAACAAUACCUUCACAGGUUGGAAUUCCCAUGACCACAAAGGACUGCAUUUGGACUAUUAUGUGAGAAAUAAACUUCUCUCUUAAGUUCCU
rnacentral:lncRNA from 1 species